UGCAAGUCGAACGGUAACAGGUUAAGCUGACGAGUGGCGAACGGGUGAGUAAUGUAUCGGAACGUGCCCAGUCGUGGGGGAUAACUGCUCGAAAGAGCAGCUAAUACCGCAUACGACCUGAGGGUGAAAGCGGGGGAUCGCAAGACCUCGCGCGAUUGGAGCGGCCGAUAUCAGAUUAGGUAGUUGGUGAGGUAAAGGCUCACCAAGCCGACGAUCUGUAGCUGGUCUGAGAGGACGACCAGCCACACUGGGACUGAGACACGGCCCAGACUCCUACGGGAGGCAGCAGUGGGGAAUUUUGGACAAUGGGCGCAAGCCUGAUCCAGCCAUGCCGCGUGCGGGAAGAAGGCCUUCGGGUUGUAAACCGCUUUUGUCAGGGAAGAAAAGGUUCUGGCUAAUACCUGGGACUCAUGACGGUACCUGAAGAAUAAGCACCGGCUAACUACGUGCCAGCAGCCGCGGUAAUACGUAGGGUGCAAGCGUUAAUCGGAAUUACUGGGCGUAAAGCGUGCGCAGGCGGUUAUGCAAGACAGAGGUGAAAUCCCCGGGCUCAACCUGGGAACUGCCUUUGUGACUGCAUGGCUAGAGUACGGUAGAGGGGGAUGGAAUUCCGCGUG
rnacentral:rRNA from 1 species